CAAACGACUCUCGGCAACGGAUAUCUCGGCUCAUGCAUCGAUGAAGAACGYAGCAAAAUGCGAUACUUGGUGUGAAUUGCAGAAUCCCGUGAACCAUCGAGUUUUUGAACGCAAGUUGCGUCCGAAGCCAUUCGGCCGAGGGCACGUCUGCCUGGGCGUCACGC
rnacentral:rRNA from 1 species